GUAAACAAGCUACUUACCACACAGCCACUCCUGCGACUAUGGUUAAUUAAAUUGCAACAGGUAUGUAGCCUGUUGUCUGUAUUAUAGUGCAUUGUUGUACCAUUCAAAACUUUUUUAUUCUUUACAAACAAUACACAAUGCUUCAAGCGAACUACAAUACUCUCCUAACA